AAAGGACUCCUGCUUGACUCUCCGACGGCGAUCUCGACGGUGCCGACAGAACGUACGUCACGUUGAAAGAGUCGACGGAUAGGCCGGUGCAUUGAUGGAUCAGUUUAUUCAGUUGGGAUUACUGCUUCGCUGGCAGUUGGACGAAAUGGUCUACGAGAAUGAUAGACAGAUGCUUUGAGCGUUGCGUUACCGGUCAGCUUGCUGUCAGGACAGAGCACAGUUCGGUUUUGGAACUUUUUGUAAAGAGAGCAGUUGCCAGUAACGGUUACAGUAGUAUGUUCUCAAGUCAACUCUCAAAGCCUCAGGACUAGAAAGUGUACUAUGAUAGACUUUACGAACAGAAGAGAAACCCUCGGCUCAGCCAACAAUGUUCCAUAGCUGAACUUGUAAGUUGUAACUGUCAGAUCAUCGGAUUUGGCCGUUUGUAACAUGAUACCUCGAGGUACAAAAGAAAGGAUGGGAGUAAAACUCUUUGCUGAAACUCAAUGAAGUUGCUUGUCUAGCAGUUGAGCACUCGAAACUUGAAACGAAACGAAAUUGAACUGGAAAUUUACAACCACAGAAAAAUGACAAUGCACAAAACUUGCAGGCCCUAAUUUGCUAAAUAUAAAAUCUACAUACAAGAUAAGAUCAUUAUGCAAAAAAUAGCCCAGAUAUGGGCUGAACAUUUUGAAGCCCAAGUAGAAAUAUUGCAAGCCCAACUUUGAAUGGAUUACAUGAC
rnacentral:lncRNA from 1 species